rnacentral:sRNA from 1 species
CAAUAGCUCCGAUUGCAGUGGAAAUCCUUUUUUGUGAAAAUUGAACAAAAAAGAUUGAAACGUAAAGCGGGAAAUAGC